rnacentral:rRNA from 1 species
UACGUAGGUGACCAGCGUUGUCCGGAUUUAUUGGGCGUAAAGAGCGUGUAGGCGGCCAUGUAGGUCCGGUGUGAAAACUCGAGGCUUAACCUCGAGAUGUCAUCGGAAACCAUUUGGCUAGAGUCCGGAAGAGGAGAGUGGAAUUCCUGGUGUAGCGGUGAAAUGCGCAGAUAUCAGGAAGAACACCAAUGGCGAAAGCAGCUCUCUGGGACGGUACUGACGCUGAGACGCGAAAGCGUGGGGAGCGAACAGG